AUUGGGCUGUUUUGAAUGUGUUGGGCAUUUGGGCUUGUAGCUUUUUGGGUUAGAAUUUGGGUAGGUUUUGUUUAAUUUUAUAAUGGGCCUGGGUGAAGUUGGGCUUCUACAUUCGAUAUUAUCCUAAAUUCAAGCUCUUUUAUUAUAAGAAUAAGAGUAGGAACAGUAAAAAAGAAAAAACAAGAAGGAGAAAAUAUUUA
rnacentral:lncRNA from 1 species